AUUGAACGCUGGCGGCGUGCCUAACACAUGCAAGUCGAGCGGUAACAGGUGUAGCAAUACAUGCUGACGAGCGGCGAACGGGUGAGUAAUGCUUCGGAAUCUACCCAAUGGUGGGAAUAACCAGCCGAAGAUUGGCUAAUACCGCAUACGUCCCACGGGAGAAAGCAGGGGAUCGCAAGACCUUGCGCCAAUGGAUGAGCCGAAGUCGGAUUAGCUAGNGGUAGGGUAACGGCCUACCAAGGCGACGAUCCGUAGCUGGUCUGAGAGGACGACCAGCCACACUGGGACUGAGACACGGCCCAGACUCCUACGGGAGGCAGCAGUGGGGAAUAUUGGACAAUGGGGGAAACCCUGAUCCAGCGACGCCGCGUGUGUGAAGAAGGCCUGCGGGUUGGUAAAG
rnacentral:rRNA from 1 species